GAAGUUUUUUUGUAUUUAAAUGAGGAGUGACCACAUACAUUUAUUGAAAGUAAACAGAAUUAUUCUGUUAUCUUUUGAUUAUUAAACUGAAUUGAAAGAUCUCAAAACAAGUAAGGAGUCUGCUAAACAAGUCACUAAACUAUACUAAAGAGUCUAAAGAAGCAAACAGCAAAGACAGGCUGCACAUCCAGCUGAUCACAGUGACUACACCUGAAGCAGCUGCAGCCGGAGGCUCCCUAAAGCCCAGGCAAAACUGAAGUAUGUGUUGUGGUGCCACUCGAACACGCCAAACAAGUCAAUCACAGAGGCUGCUUCAGUUCGGCAUCCAUCAUACAUGUCAUCAAUGGAGUCUGUGGCCAUAUCCAGAGAAGACAGAACUUUCAGGAAGGCUGAAUGCAACGGCAGGGAAACAGAGGCGUGGACCCAAAAUGCAGACCUUAACAAGGCUAGAUCAGUUUGCAGCUUUCCAUUCAGGAUCUGACUGAUGACCAGGAUGACGACUGCAGAUCCAAACCUU